rnacentral:rRNA from 1 species
AUGAAGAGUUUGAUCCUGGCUCAGGAUGAACGCUAGCGGCAGGCUUAACACAUGCAAGUCGAGGGGUAACAGAGGUAGCUUGCUACUUGCUGACGACCGGCGCACGGGUGCGUAACGCGUAUACAAUCUACCUUAUACUGGGGGAUAGCCUUUGGAAACGAAGAUUAAUACCCCAUGGUAUUACUGAAUGGCAUCGUUUAGUGAUUAAAACUCCGGUGGUAUAAGAUGAGUAUGCGUUCUAUUAGCUAGAUGGAGAGGUAACGGCUCCCCAUGGCAACGAUAGAUAGGGGUCCUGAGAGGGAGAUCCCCCACACUGGUACUGAGACACGGACCAGACUCCUACGGGAGGCAGCAGUGAGGAAUAUUGGACAAUGGAGGCAACUCUGAUCCAGCCAUGCCGCGUGAAGGAAGACUGCCCUAUGGGUUGUAAACUGCUUUUAUAUGGGAAGAAUAAGUAGUACGUGUACUACGAUGACGGUACCAUACGAAUAAGCACCGGCUAACUCCGUGCCAGCAGCCGCGGUAAGACGGAGGAUGCAAGUGUUAUCCGGAAU